rnacentral:lncRNA from 1 species
GGAAACAUGUAAAUGCAAAAGAGAAGCCCAAACUUUAUUAAUCCAUCCACCGUAUCAUUAGCCUCCCUAUAAGCAUGUUUUAAAGAGAGCCCUGGCAAGAUCCAUAACCUGUAAUCACAUGGACCUUAAUUUCCAUGGUGGCCUCGCCUCCUCCUUACACCAAAUAAUUACAUUUUGAGAGUAAAAAAACCAUCCACGUGGACGAGCAAAGCAAAAGAUGACACAACUAUCACUAUUAGUGACGAACUCGAAUUCUAACAAAACUCAGGUUCCCCAAAGAGCCAUCAAAAUUUAUUUUAAGCCAAUCUUGGAGACACCCAUCUUCCUUUCUGCAUCACUUUAACCACAUUCAAAUUAAUGAAAUAACACAUAUUCCUCCAUCUUCCUUUCUGUAUCACUUUAACGACUAUCAAAUUAAUGAGAUAACGCAUAUUCAUCGACAUUACUAGAAAUGUGGUUUCUAUACGUCGUAAGUAUCCCUAGGAUGAUGUUUUAAAGCAAAUGAGAGUGGGAUAUCAUGGAGUUUGUCAUUCUACAAUGUGUUUUAGCAGUAGAUGCUAAUGCAGUUUUUAAAUUUCUCCCAUUUUUUUUACGUCGUGGCUCUCUCUGAUUUGGGUGAUUUUUUACAUUUUUUUUCAAUACCACCAUAUAUCACAAUGCUUUGGUAAUUCGAAAAAUAUACUUCACAGGACACAUACAGAUUUUAUGUAACAUGUAAUUUAGCUCCUUUUUUUUAUUUUUUUUACCAUGUAAGAAUUUGAAAUGUAGCAUUUUUCCACUAUCAGUAACUGGGGCAAAAAAAUACAUCAAGAAACUAGUCCAUCAAAAACAAACCCAAUCAAUAAUUAUCAUAUAAGAAAAAUGGAAGCUAUUCCAAUUAAGUAUCUUUCUGGAAAACAAGAUCACAGGGAUUACAAAUAUAUUUUAAUCCCUCCAUGUUUGAAAUCCAUAUAAUAUUUAAAUUAUUAGAUAUAAAAAUAUGAAGGAGAUGAAAUAUUUUUGCAAUAACGCCUUGUAACUUUAUUAUGACUAAAUAGAUUACCAUAUUCUUUGAAAUAAAUUCCUUUCCCUAAACAUUCUUGACAUAAACUCAUUGCUAUAUUUUCUCCACUAGUGUUUUGUGUAAACGGAACCCCCACCCAAAUUUAUGAAGAUCCACUCAUGCAUGUACGUUCAUGAAAUUUCUUUGAAAACCAAUAUAGAAAGCAGAAAUGAAAAUAUCAAAGUAGAGUAAAUAUGUUGGAAUUUGAAAAAUUAAUCCUAUAUGGCUCUCUCUUAGUAACCAAGAAAAAUUUACUAAAACGGAAAGACAUAUUUCUUGCACCCCAUCAACAAAGACACCUUUUACCAUUUCAUGGGGACCUGCAAAACCAGUUAGAUGGUGGCACCAGUGACAAAUAUCUUCAGAUCAUCAACCGGAAAAUAAACCACGGCCAACAUUCUUAUAAAAUCGCCUUCGAGCCAGCAAUACAGCGUAAUAAUCGUUUCCAUGUUUCUCCACAGCUUUUUUGAACCUGUUACUCAACAUUGCAUCUCCGAGAACUAACUCGAAGAGGAACCGUCUGAAU